AAGUCGUAACAAGGUCUCCGUAGGUGAACCUGCGGAGGGAUCAUUAACAUGUUUAUACUCAUAUAUAAACAUAUCUAUACAAACAAAUAGAAACUCAAGUAUAAGGAAUAUAUUCAGUUAUACUCUGCAAUACUUAGUCCAUCUCCCUCUCUACAUCUAUAGUAAUAUAGAUAUAGUUUGGCUAUUUUUUUAAAAUAUUAACCCCUUUCCAACUAUUAUAUUCCAUCAAUGACUUAUAUGUGAGUUGAAAUAAAAAUUAAUUUUUUUAUUUAUUUACUCUACAUUAUUCUUUUAAUGUAAAGCACAACUCUUAGCAACGGAUAUCUUGGUUCUC
rnacentral:misc_RNA from 1 species